CCUGCCUGUGGGCUCAUCUUCUGGCAUCACUGUCCCGGUAGAAUUUGGGAAGGCCUCAUUGCCAGGUGAAUGGACUGCCAUGGCUGCCCACAUGAACGGUGAGACUGGCUAGAGUCAUGGUGCAAGUGGUCUGACCGAUGAAAUCUCCAAAGUGAAGAGGCAGAUUACAUCAUAAGUAGGACAGACCUCCUUAUAUGAAAGCUGUGGGUAUGCCCCAGGAGUAGCAGACCAUGAUGCUGAUGAGAAAAGCGCCCUCGCCUGACAAGGAGAGGAAGUAACUCGGAUAGAUGUUAGUCCUUGUCUCCAUCCCUGAGGAGGAACAGUUUCGAAGAUUGCACGAAGGAUCCUCAUCAGAAUCUUGGGCAUUGAUUCACAAAAAGGCAAGGAAAGGACUCAAUCUUCUCAGAGAUGCAGUUCCUGGCUUCCACCUUAGUGAUGGAUCAAGCCUUAUCUGCAUUGUACUCUACUCAAAGGAUCAAAGAAUCAUACAUAGUGAUUUAUAAUUUAAACAAAUGGUAUUCCCAUCGCAAAAACUGAGCGUCAUUUAAUUUGGCUAUUUUCUGGCAUCAAAACAAGUUCUGCUUAAGAACACUGAAGUCUCGCAACACUGAAAAAAUACUUUGGUCAGCACCUUGUCCGGGUCCUUUACAGCCCUUAAAAUGAUGUAGUGUAUAAAAAUAGAGUUUUAACCAAGUAAUGUGAGGUCACUGUUUAUGAGUAUAUUCUGGUAAUGUGAGGGCACUAUAUGUGAUUCUGAAUCAUCGAAAUGAAGCACAUUGAAGAUGUCUGUAUCUCAGCCUGAAAAAAUUACAUGUAACUGUUGAGACCCUUUUAUUCAGUAAAAUAAUGCAAUGUCUGACUCGUAUAUGUUUGCA